rnacentral:tRNA from 1 species
GACCACGUAGCUCAGUUGGCAGAGCAUUGGACUAGUAUCCCAAAGGUCGCGGGUUCGAUUCCAACCGUGGUCA